rnacentral:lncRNA from 1 species
GUAUCUCAAGCGUCUGUGCUACUCUUAUCCACAAUGUUGAAAUUCCGUCUGUGUUUUUGGUCACUUUCAGUAAACUUUUCUUUGCUUUUUGUUGGUAGGCGAUUCUGUUUAAAAGAUUAAAAUAUGGUUUCAAAAGACCGUAAGAAACCUACUGGAUCUCCAAAAGUACAAGUUGGGGAGAUAGAUACAAGUGCACCAUUUCAGUCUGUCAAAGAUGCUGUUAACUUGUUUGGGGAAGGUGCAUUCUCAGGGGAAAAACCUGCAAUCAGGAAGCCAAGACCUCAGUCCGCAGAGGUAAAUAAUACUGUGGUUCAAAAUGUAUAUCGUUAUCCUGAAUGGAGAAGCUUGGUGUUUUUAUUAUGACAUUUUUUAUUUUUUUUUGAUAAAAGUUAAAGUUGUAUUCUUCAGCAUUAAGGGUAUGCUGGCUACCUCCAAAAAGUUACAAGCUGACACCAUAAUUACAUAGAUCCUAGGAAAUCUACCAACUGUUCUACUUCUUCUAUACCAUCUUCUUUACACCAAAAAAACAACAUGUUAAUGCAAUUUUCUUUAACUUUCUGAAUAGAGUUAGUAAUAUUCUCAUGACACCUAAGGUUUCUUUCUCUCCAAAUAGCCCACCAGACACAAGUAGGUACUAUAGACCACCAUCUUUUUUGGGUCUUGCUCCCCCCCCCCUCCUCAUCCAGCAGCUCAAGAGAUCAGCAGUGUUUUUAUUAUGACAUUUUAUCUGCAUUGUUUGUGUUAAACAUUCGUUUUAUGAUUAAGAUUGAAUUAAUACCUUAUUGAGCUUUCUUCUCCCUCUCCUAUUUCCAAGAUCGAAACAAAGAAAAGUUGGAGAAUGGACAUCUAAGCAAAGUUUCCUUUUGUCUAACAAAUACUUGUAAUUUGUCUUUUACAUCAAGUAAGUCAUGUUGUCAUAGAAAUUUGUGCGUGCAUGCAUCUCCAUCUAUUCAUCGAACUUUUUUCUGGUGUAUGUGUCUUUGAAGCAUCUUCUUUCUUUGAUUAUUCAAAUGUUUUCACAUGGUGUUUAAUGACUUCGAAGUGUUCAUAAUUAUUUGGUGCUUCAUUUUAUAGUUUCAGAACUUUUUCACUAAAUGGUAAAUACGCUCAUACUUGAGUCUUUUGAGUACUGAAUGUAACAUGUAAUCAGGUGCUCUCAGGAGUGCAUGAAUGCAAAAGUAUUUACACCUAAGGAUUGGUUAGUGUUCUGAGACAGCAAUAAAAUAGCCUCACCUAAGUACCCUUAUCUUGUCUUGAUUUCAGAGGGUACUGGCAAAGGAAACACAGCUUCACUUAGCCCAGAAAGAGCUGAACAAGUUGAAGGAACAGUUGAAAAAUGCAGAAACCACUAGAGCCCAAGCACUUAC